GACGAACGCUGGCGGCGUGCUUAACACAUGCAAGUCGAGCGGUAAGGCCCUUCGGGGUACACGAGCGGCGAACGGGUGAGUAACACGUGGGUGAUCUGCCUCGCACUCUGGGAUAAGCCUGGGAAACUGGGUCUAAUACCGGAUAUGACCACCGGUCGCAUGGUUGGCGGUGGAAAGAUUUAUCGGUGCGAGAUGAGCCCGCGGCCUAUCAGCUUGUUGGUGGGGUAAUGGCCUACCAAGGCGACGACGGGUAGCCGGCCUGAGAGGGCGACCGGCCACACUGGGACUGAGACACGGCCCAGACUCCUACGGGAGGCAGCAGUGGGGAAUAUUGCACAAUGGGCGAAAGCCUGAUGCAGCGACGCCGCGUGAGGGAUGACGGCCUUCGGGUUGUAAACCUCUUUCGACAGGGACGAAGCGCAAGUGACGGUACCUGUAGAAGAAGCACCGGCCAACUACGUGCCAGCAGCCGCCGUAAAAC
rnacentral:rRNA from 1 species